rnacentral:lncRNA from 1 species
CUACCUUCAUUCGGGUAUAGGAUUAUUUUAAACAGGGGCCGGAUUCUCUCCUUGAAAAUUUCUUCCUUGAUUUUUACUUGAAUUUAAAAUUACGUUAUUUUAAAUAUAAAUUAAUAUUUUACUUAAAAAAUUUAAAACUAUCUCAAUUCUAUUUAAUGUCUCAAAAAACGUCAUUUGAAAUAUAAUUUUUAUAUUUUAUUUAAGGGUUUCAAAAUUAUAUAUCUCGUUUUGAAGUGCAAAAAAAUAAUUAAAAAAAAUUAAUUGAGAACGUAUCAUUUGGGAUUUUCUUAAAAGUCUCGAAAAAUAUCAAAUUACAAACAUUGAGAAUAUCAUGAAAAAUAAAUUAUAAAUUAAUUUAUGAUGCAUGAAAAUGAUUACACCAAAAGUAACUUAAGAAUUAAGAGUUUUAAAUAAAUUAAGUCGCAGAAUGUCUGCAAUUUUAUUUUUUUUUGAAUGAAAAAAAAAAUCAGAGGCUAAGCAAUAUAAGUCAAAUAAACUUCAAUUUACUUUCAAAAUGACGUACUUUUAAAUUCAAAGAGGACACUUCAAGGAGAGUAGGCCAACUCAUAAAAUAAUUGCAAGACAUACAAUUAUAUAUAUUAUCCAAAUUAUAUUUAUAUAGAAUGGAUUGUUGUUCACUUUGCAGGUCCCCAAAUGCGUCUGCUACUGCUAAUGCGAGUCCAACUAUUUUGUGUCUGAUAUGAGAAAAUUAGAAGAAAAAUGAUUUUUUUAUUUUUUGCAUUAUUCUUAAUUAUAUCUAUAUCUAGUACAUUGGAUUUUGAAAUGUAACGAAAUUUUUUUAAAAUAAUUAUAAUUAAUUCCUUUUCUUUUUUGGCUAGACAUUGCAUUUCAUUUUUUCUUAUCCAUAUUGUAAGGGGGCAAAAUAUACAAAGACAGAGUCUGGUCUUGCUAGGGUGGAGAACUCCGCCGAGCUAUUGCUAUUUAGCAAGCUCGGAUUUCCUCCAUGCCGAAGCUCGGUGCAGACACCACCAAAGGCAAGCCUGUCCGAGCUAAGGCCAUACUUGCUUUCGAGUUGUCGCUAUUCAGUAAGUUUUGGAGAAUAACCGCGCUAGAACUUGGACAAGGGGCAACAGUCGGCGGCAAUCCCGAAGGAUGUCAGUGGACAAAAAGUAGCUUGCACGGCAAAAUUUUUUUGGACAGCCCUCACGCCCGGAUAGAGACGUCAGCGGCGUAAUGAAAGGCUAUCAGCCAGGCUCUAAGAGCAUGGAUGGGUUAGUUGCCUACUCACUGACACAACGGUCGGCACGUACAAUUACGCGUCGAGCUGCAGUUUGUCCAGUGACAAGAUAGUUAGGGUGUCAAGGUACGCAUCAAGCUACGCUAUAUAAGGAGAACUGUUGUUCUCACAAAGGUACGCAAACUUUGGCUAUCAAAGUUUAUAUACACUUUCUCUCUCUACAUCUCCGGUCUUCUAACUUGACUGUCAGAGAACCAUUUUUCGAAAACAGCUCCGGCUGACGAACUUACUAUGUCUGUGCUGCAACUAAGGUAUCAAAGGUUGACUGGUUGAAGCUACCCGCACCACCGUAGGACCAUCGCGAGUGUCCAUCCUCAAUUUCCUUCAUCUCAUCCUUUAAAUACUACACCCCACAAUUGGCGUUGUCUAUGGAAUAUCGAUUAUAGACAUUUGCAAAGCCGAUUUUUUAUGGCAUCGUAAAGCCGCAACCGUUCCGGUAGUCGAGAGAUUUACAGGGAGACUCCUCACGCACCCAAAACUCCUGGGGGCAGAGGGGUUAAACUACUGAAUGAUGCCUAGAGGGCGGCCAAGGCCACCUCUCUGUAGAAUCUAGGUCGGUUACUCCCUGGAAGGGCAGAUAGUAGGGACAUAACCGUUCAACGCUUGCAGACUCAAUUAGCCGAGAUGGCGCACAUUUUGAAUAACAAUAAAUUAGUGAAAUCGGUCCCAGCAGCAGAAGCGGGACCAUCUGAAGAUAGGAUUGGAGUACCAACCCUACCGCCUCGGGAAAGACGGGAUAGAAGACAACGUUGAUCCCACGUCAGUUUGGAUAGACCAACGGACAGUAAAUCAGUAACAUCGAAUAAGCGAAGGGGAUCACUUGACCGAGUUGAUUCCGGUAGGGACCUCCGCGAGACGCUCAAUGCCAAAGGGUGACUUGAGCACUAAGCUCAACGACCAAAGGGUGGCGGCCUCGAGCAAAGCCCUCUGUUCUACAGGGUCGAUAGCCCACACAGCCAGACUCGAAUGGAAAAAGGCAGUCCCGAAGUACCAAACUCCAUUCUCUCAGAAAAUCGAGGGAUUAGACCCACCAGAGAAGUUCACGCUGCCCAGGUUUAAGUUGUACGAUGGGAAGUCAGAUUCGAGGCCCCACGUGAGCCACGUCAGGUAAACGAUGACACUUUGGAACCACAUGGAUGCCUUGAUGUGCCGUGUGUUCCCAUCGAGCUUGGGGGACCUCAAACUGAAGUGGUUCAAUAAACUUUCCAUGGGGUCAAUUAAGAACUUCCAUCAACUGACUAA